ACGUAGGUGGCGAGCGUUGUCCGGAUUUACUGGGCGUAAAGGGAGCGUAGGCGGACUUUUAAGUGAGAUGUGAAAUACCCGGGCUCAACUUGGGUGCUGCAUUUCAAACUGGAAGUCUAGAGUGCAGGAGAGGAGAAUGGAAUUCCUAGUGUAGCGGUGAAAUGCGUAGAUAUCGGGAGGAACACCAGUGGCGAAGGCGGGUUCCUGGCCCAUUACUGACGCUGAGGUGCGAAAGCCGGGGGAGCGAACGG
rnacentral:rRNA from 1 species